GACGAACGCUGGCGGCGUGCCUAAUACAUGCAAGUAGAACGCUGACUACUUUAGCUUGCUAGAGUAGAGGGAGUUGCGAACGGGUGAGUAACGCGUAGGUAACCUGCCUACUAGCGGGGGAUAACUAUUGGAAACGAUAGCUAAUACCGCAUAACAGUGUUUAACACAUGUUAGAUGCUUGAAAGAUGCAAUUGCAUCACUAGUAGAUGGACCUGCGUUGUAUUAGCUAGUUGGUGGGGUAACGGCCCACCAAGGCGACGAUACAUAGCCGACCUGAGAGGGUGAUCGGCCACACUGGGACUGAGACACGGGCCCAGGACUCCUACGGGAGGCGGCAGUAGGGAAUCUUUCGGGCAAAUGGGGGCAACCCGUGACCGAGCAACGCCGCGUGAGUGAAGAAGGUUUUCGGAUCGUAAA
rnacentral:rRNA from 1 species